rnacentral:rRNA from 1 species
CAGCAGCCGCGGUAAUCCGAAGGGGGCUAGCGUUGCUCGGAAUGACUGGGCGUAAGGGGCGCGUAGGCGGAUGGCACAGUCAGAUGUGAAAUUCCCGGGCUUAACCUGGGGGCUGCAUUUGAUACGUGUUGUCUAGAGUGAGGAAGAGGGUUGUGGAAUUCCCAGUGUAGAGGUGAAAUUCGUAGAUAUUGGGAAGAACACCGGUGGCGAAGGCGGCAACCUGGUCCUUGACUGACGCUGAGGCGCGAAAGCGUGGGGAGCAAACAGGAUUAGAUACCCCCGUAGUCCCUGUCUCUUAUAC